CAUGCAAGUCGGACGGUAACAGGGAUUGCUUGCAAUCCGCUGACGAGUGGCGCACGGGUGCGCAACGCGUAUAGAACCUACCCUUUACAGGGGGAUAGCCCAGAGAAAUUUGGAUUAAUACCCCGUAGUACCUAUUAGAGGCAUUUCUAAUAGGUUAUAGUUUUCGAACGGUAAAGGAUGGCUAUGCGUCUUAUUAGCUAGUAGGUAAGGUAACGGCUUACCUAGGCUACGAUAAGUAGGGGCCCUGAGAGGGGGAUCCCCCACACUGGUACUGAGACACGGACCAGACUCCUACGGGAGGCAGCAGUGAGGAAUAUUGGACAAUGGGCGGAAGCCUGAUCCAGCCAUGCCGCGUGCAGGAAGACGGCCCUAUGGGUUGUAAACUGCUUUUAUACGGGAAGAAUAAGGGAUACGUGUAUCCUGGUGACGGUACCGUAAGAAUAAGGACCGGCUAACUCCGUGCCAGCAGCCGCGGUAAUACGGAGGGUCCGAGCGUUAUCCGGAAUUAUUGGGUUUAAAGGGUCCGCAGGCGGGCAAUUAAGUCAGAGGUGAAAUGGUGCGGCUCAACCGUAGCACUGCCUUUGAUACUGGUUGUCUUGAGUCAUGGUGGAGUGGCCGGAAUAUGUAGUGUAGCGGUGAAAUGCAUAGAUAUUACAUAGAACACCGAUCGCGAAGGCAGGUCACUAACCAUGUACUGACGCUGAUGGACGAAAGCGUGGGGAGCGAACGGGAUUAGAUACCCCGGUAGUCCACGCCGUAAACGAUGGAUACUAGCUGUCCGCUGCCUUGAGCAGUGGGCGGCCAAGCGAAAGUGAUAAGUAUCCCACCUGGGGAGUACGUUCGCAAGAAUGAAACUCAAAGGAAUUGACGGGGGCCCGCACAAGCGGUGGAGCAUGUGGUUUAAUUCGAUGAUACGCGAGGAACCUUACCAGGGCUUAAAUGCAGAAUGACAGGUUUAGAGAUAGACUUUUCUUCGGACAUUUUGCAAGG
rnacentral:rRNA from 1 species